ACAUAAGAAGUGUAUUUGCUGGAAAUGUGGACGUAAAGCAAUACAUAGCCUUUAGGUAGGUGUGCAAGAAGAUCUGCAUGUCCAUAAAGAAACCUAUGGAUAUGA